GUUAAGUUUUUACAAAAAGUUCGUUCUGAAGAUUUCAUAAGAGUGUGUAAAAAAGUUGGGAAAAGAGGAACUCCGAAGAAAUCCCCCUUUUUCCAAGUUGUGCACAGGUGUGAGUGUGGAUGAAAAACGGAGCGUGCACGUUUGCCUCGAAAGGCCAGCAGCAACUCCUGAAGUUUUCAUUAAUGAUCCUUCCGCAGGUUCACCUACGGAAA
rnacentral:misc_RNA from 1 species